CCUUCGGGAGGGCGCUUACCACUUUGUGAUUCAUGACUGGGGUGAAGUCGUAACAAGGUAACCGUAGGGGAACCUGCGGUUGGAUCACCUCCUUACCUGAAGAUAC
rnacentral:rRNA from 1 species